UCUAUACUAUGUGAAUCAUCGAAUCUUUGAACGCAUCUUGCGCUUCCAGGCAUUCCUGGGAGCACAUCUGGCUGAGUAUCAAUUUUCCUUCUUCCUUUUCUCUUGUUCUCACGAAUAAGAGUUGAAAAAAAGGAGAGAAUGAGGAUCCCAAAAGGGCGUCUGCUUUUUUGCGUUCCUUGAAAUACAGAGACGCUGUGCUUGCAUAGUGUCGGGACGGUUGCCUGUGCGCCUCCCCAAAGAUCUGUUUCUCCUCCAGAAGAACAGCAAGGAAGAUCCCCCUUCGGGUGGAUCUGUUUGCCUUUUCUCUUUUCUGGCGCGUUAGGAAAGCUACACUUUCUCACGUUGGAAAUCACGAGUCUGUGCAAAUUCUUCUUGCCUACUACUCUGUCUGUGUGUGAAACAAACCAAACAAAAAGACUUUGAUCUCAGCUCAGAUGGGACUACCCGCUGAACUUAAGCAUAUCAAUAAGCGGAGG
rnacentral:rRNA from 1 species